UUNUGAACUGGGUGACUAGAGUGUGUCAGAGGGAGGUAGAAUUCCACGUGUAGCAGUGAAAUGCGUAGAGAUGUGGAGGAAUACCGAUGGNGAAGGCAGCCUCCUGGGAUAACACUGACGUUCAUGCCCGAAAGCGUGGGUAGCAAACAGGAUUAGAUACCCUGGUAGUCCACGCCCUAAACGAUGUCGAUUAGCUGUUGGGCAGCAUGACUGCUUAGUAGCGAAGCUAACGCGUGAAAUCGACCGCCUGGGGAGUACGGUCGCAAGAUUAAAACUCAAAGGAAUUGACGGGGACCCGCACAAGCGGUGGAUGAUGUGGAUUAAUUCGAUGCAACGCGAAGAACCUUACCUGGUCUUGACAUGUACGGAAUCCUCCAGAGACGGAGGAGUGCCUUCGGGAGCCGUAACACAGGUGCUGCAUGGCUGUCGUCAGCUCGUGUCGUGAGAUGUUGGGUUAAGUCCCGCAACGAGCGCAACCCUUGUCAUUAGUUGCCAUCAUUAAGUUGGGCACUCUAAUGAGACUGCCGGUGACAAGCCGGAGGAAGGUGGGGAUGACGUCAAGUCCUCAUGGCCCUUAUGACCAGGGCUUCACACGUCAUACAAUGGUCGGUACAGAGGGUAGCCAAGCCGCGAGGCGGAGCCAAUCUCACAAAACCGAUCGUAGUCCGGAUUGCACUCUGCAACUCGAGUGCAUGAAGUCGGAAUCGCUAGUAAUCGCAGGUCAGCAUACUGCGGUGAAUACGUUCCCGGGUCUUGUACACACCGCCC
rnacentral:rRNA from 1 species